AGCACUUUAAUAAUAGUUAAAACGUUUAAAAAAGGAAAUUUGCCUUGAUGUGUGCACCGUGAGGAUUGUCUAGUGAGUCGGUGCAAAUGCAAAUGCAAGUGCAUGAAAAAUGCUUUUAUUUUAAGGAGGAAAGGAACUUGGGUGGGAGGGGAAGAAGGGAGAGAGGAAGGAAGAAAAGAAAGGAAGGAAGGAAAACGAUGUAUGAAACUCAGUAGCAGGUCCAACUCGGAGUCCUAAGAUGACACUAGGACCAUAGGGGCUCACACAGGGUGUCCUCUACAGUUCAGACUAAGUUUAAAAAGCCUUGGAUAUAUUCUUAUUUUUUCCAAACUUUUAAAAAAGCUACUUAAAAUUAAAAAAAAAUCAAUUGCCACUAGUUUAUUUGGCUUACGCUGAAGUAAGUAGAAAAUUUGAAGACUUAGAAUCUUGGCCCGUUUUCGUCUGUAGUUUUUAAGUUAUAAAAUAUAUCUAUAGGAAAUAGAGCCUUUUAGGAUUUAUUACUGUAUUUUAAUAUCCAUCAGGGUGUGUCAGAGCAAUUAAAAAUAUCUUUGGAUGACUUACAGAAGAGUAACUGUAGGGUAAUGGCCCAGUGAAGUGGCCAUCCAAAUUCUGGGGGAGUAGUAACUUGAGGGCCAACUCUCCAGGCUUGUGGUUUAUACCAUCUAUACCCUCAGGGUUCCCGUGUUAGCCAGCACCGGACAUCAUCUUUCUAUGUGGGUGGCAGCUGCCUGUCAGCUCCAUAAUCCUGAAGGAAAGCCAGGAAUCUGUUUCAAAGCAUUUGUCCAGCGUAAACCACAUGUGGUCUCCAGGGAGCUCUGGGCCUGAAGCCUGCUGGCUUAUCCAGGAAAAAAAAAUGGACUGUCUUCUCAAAGCCAAUAAGAUAAAAGAAACCUUCCAUAGUCCACAACAGCACAGCUCGUGGGUGGGAAUUGCACAAGAUUAAGGUUUGUCCUUUCUGUUGGCCUCAGAAAAGCAAAGGAAAAGGAGGAAAUGCAGACUGCUGUGCGGGUCCUCUGUUUCACGAUGUUUGUUCGAUGUGCUUAAAACCAUCAUCGAAUGGGGUCAUCGACUGUGUGUUUGACUACUCCAUUGAUCACUAGGGGGCCUUGAGUACUCAUAGCAGACUUCAAUUAUCCUGUCACUGUCACUUCAGGAUACAUGCCCACUUGAUAUCAUUGGAACGGAAUCCUACCAAAGUCAAGAUUUCUGUAUGCUAGAAAAAUGUGUUUUCUUAACAGUCACUGGCCGCAGUAGUAUGCAGAGCAGAUCUGAGGGCAGACAAGAAAGCUGCUAAGCCUUGUUAUUUCCUGCCAAAACUGCCACAGAAAGGCAUCCAUGUACUGGUCUACCCUUCCAAGGGAACUGGAACACAAACACUGUAGCAGAUGAGCUGAAAUUUAAAGAGAGAGGGAAUGCGUGUCCUUCUAAUACUGGGAAAGAAGAGUAUAAAAGGGCAACAGAUAGCAGUUGAUUGGUUGAUGUCCAUCAGCGGGAUGAAGAAAGAAAAAUCUCAGAUGGUUGCAAAAAAUCUAUACAGGAAUAUUCAUCACAGUAUGACCAGGCAAAUCUGUAUCUUCUCUUCUAUCCAGAGUGAAAACAUCUACUGUUCCCCGUGGAAUCUAAUACACAGCGAGAUCUAAUGAAACCAUUGUUUCAGAAUGAGAUCCCCUCACAUCUCUCUCUCAUCUAUCAUCUAUCUACCCACAAUGGAUCUAUGUAUUCACAAUAUGCACAUAUAUUAAAUGAAGCCCAUCAUAUAUAGUGGAUAAUA